rnacentral:rRNA from 1 species
CCUACGGGGGGCAGCAGUGGGGAAUAUUGCACAAUGGGGGAAACCCUGAUGCAGCGACGCCGCGUGAGUGAAGAAGUACUUCGUUAUGUAAAGCUCUAUCAGCAGGGAAGAAAAUGACGGUACCUGAGUAAUAAGCCCCGGCUAACUACGUGCCAGCAGCCGCGGUCAUACGUAGGGGGCAAGCGUUAUCCGGAUUUACUGGGUGUAACGGGAGCGUAGACGGUGCGCCACGUCUGGCUUGAAAUGCCGCAGCUUAACUGCGGAACUGCUUUGGAAACUGGCGAACUAGAGUGCGGGAGGGGUAAGCGGAAUUCCUAGUGUAGCGGUGAAAUGCGUAGAUAUUAGGAGGAACACCGGUGGCGAAGGCGGCUUACUGGACCGUAACUGACGUUGAGGCUCGAACGCGUGGGGAGCAAACAGGAUUAGAUACCCGUGUAGUC